rnacentral:lncRNA from 1 species
UCCUCAUCGCCUAUAGUGAUCGCCGUAUCUGCUUUCUUCAACAAAAAUGAAGGAUGGAGAUAGAAGCAACUAUUCACUUCAUACUAAAUUAUAAGAUAUUUUGAUUUUUUAUAUACAUAAUUUUCUGCAUGCCAUUUAGAUAUACACUAUUUCUAGAUAUAAAAUAAAAAUAAUAUAUCUUAGAAAACUAAAGCAUCUUAUAACUUAGGGCCGUUUGCAUGAUAAAACCAGUUCCGAUUCUCACCAGGAACAGCAGAAAUUGCGCCAAAAACGGCCUUUCCGUGAAACGUUUCUCCCCUGAUUCUGCUUUCUUUUUUGCUUGGACGAGUGAAAUUGUUCUGGAGUGGUUUCGCUAGAUUUUGUUUCUAGCAUCUCCCUUAUCCAAGCAUGUAGUAUAUUUACUUAUUUAUAAAUCAUUGGAGUAAUCCACCUUACUUGUUACUACACUACUCUCCCACCACUUCGUAAUAUUUGCAUGGCCUUUUGGUAGGCUAGGCUUCUCUUUGCCAAUAUUAGUUCUACAAUCUUUUUUCUCGAUCAAACUCCACCUUUUUUUUAUAACCGUGCAACCACUCAAUUGAAUAAUGAUAAUACAGGUCCCUCGUCUAUUCUAACGGCUCCUUUGGUAGAGAUCCAGCUGAGAAACGUUUCAGUUCUAGAUUAUUCAGGCCUUGUUUAGUUCCUCAAAAAUUUUGCAAAAUUUUUCAGAUUCUCCGUCACAUCGAAUCUUUAGACGUAUGCAUGGAGUAUUAAAUGU